GACGAACGCUGGCGGCGGGCUUAACACAUGCAAGUCGAACGGAAAGGCCCUGCUUGCGUGGGGUGCUCGAGUGGCGAAAGGGUGAGUAACACGUGAGUAACCGGCCCUUGACUUUGGGAUGACUUCAGGAAACUGGGGCUAAUACCGUAUAGGAGCUCCUGUUGCAGGGUGGGGGUGGGAUAGUUUCGGCGGGUGGGGAUGGACGCGCGGCUGAUCAACUUGUUGGUGGGGUAGGGGCUUACCAAGGCUUUGACGGGUAGCCGGCCUGAGAGGGUGACCGGCCACCUUGGGACUGAGAUACGGCCCAGACUCCUACGGGAGGCAGCAGUGGGGAAUAUUGUCCAAUGGGCGGACGCCUGAUGCAGCAACGCCGCGUGCGGGAUGACGGCCUUCGGGUUGUAAACCGCUUUCGCCUGUGACGAAGCGUGAGUGACGGUAAUGGGUAAAGAAGCACCGGCUAACUACGUG
rnacentral:rRNA from 1 species